UACAGAGGGUGCGAGCGUUAAUCGGAAUUACUGGGCGUAAAGGGCGCGUAGGCGGUGUGUCAAGUCAGGCGUGAAAGCCCCGGGCUCAACCUGGGAACCGCGCUUGAGACUGGCACGCUCGAGUUCGGGAGAGGAUGGUGGAAUUCCCAGUGUAGAGGUGAAAUUCGUAGAUAUUCGCAAGAACACCAGUGGCGAAGGCGGCUCACUGGCUCGGUACUGACGCUGAGGUGCGAAAGCGUGGGGAGCAAACAGG
rnacentral:rRNA from 1 species